rnacentral:snoRNA from 1 species
CUGCAUAUUACUUUACCCAGCCUUUUCCAAAUACAGUUCCCACAGGUUUACUUUUUAAAACACCACCGUGCAAUGGCUGCAAACAGCAGCUUCCUUGGUAGUGUAUGCAGCCUGUUUCUUGUAUGGGUUGCUCUAAGGGACCUUGGAGACAGGC